CACCACGCCCAGCCCAGGCAGAGUUCUUAUGUACCCACAAUGAGCCUGCCCACCUCAGCCAUGCCUGUUGAGGGGGUGGGGAGAUGCCCUGUGGGCCAGCCAUGCCAGCGGGUACCUGGGAGGUGGGCAGCCCUGGGCCAAAUCCGAGCAUGCCCUCUCUGCAGCAGCAAUGCAGAGUCCCUGGACAGGCUCCUGCCCCCUGUGGGCACUGGGCACUCUCCCCGGAAGCGGACCACCAGCCAGUGCAAGUCAGAGCCUCCCCUGCUGCGCACCAGCAAGCGCACCAUCUACACCGCAGGGCGGCCGCCCUGGUACAACGAGCACGGCACGCAGUCCAAGGAGGCCUUCGCCAUCGGCCUGGGAGGUGGCAGUGCCUCUGGGAAGACCACUGUUGCCAGAAUGAUCAUUGAAGCCCUGGACGUGCCCUGGGUGGUCUUGCUGUCCAUGGACUCCUUCUACAAGGUGCUGACUGAGCAGCAGCAGGAACAGGCCGCACACAACAACUUCAACUUCGACCACCCAGAUGCCUUUGACUUCGACCUCAUCAUUUCCACCCUCAAGAAACUGAAGCAGGGGAAGAGUGUCAAGGUGCCCGUCUAUGACUUCACCACGCACAGCCGGAAGAGGGACUGGAAAACACUGUAUGGUGCAAACGUCAUCAUCUUUGAGGGCAUCAUGGCCUUUGCUGACAAGACACUGCUGGAGGGGCUGGUCCCAGUGUCUCCAUGCCGGCUGCUGGCAUCCAGCCGCUCACUGGCCCACCGUCUCCACCAGCUCCUGGACAUGAAGAUCUUUGUGGACACAGACUCUGACAUCCGCCUGGUACGGCGGCUGCGCCGGGACAUCAGUGAGCGCGGCCGGGACAUCGAGGGUGUCAUCAAGCAGUACAACAAGUUUGUCAAGCCCUCCUUCGACCAGUACAUCCAGCCCACCAUGCGCCUGGCAGACAUCGUGGUGCCCAGAGGGAGCGGCAACACGGUGGCCAUCGACCUGAUCGUGCAGCACGUGCACAGCCAGCUGGAGGAGCAUGACCAUUCCUGGGUGGGGGUGGCCUGGCCGCCUGCCCUGGUCACUGACGCGCCACCGUUCCCUUGUGUCUUCCUGUGUUGCUGCCACAGCGUGAACUCAGCGUCAGAGGAAGCUCCGUUGGGAUAUGUGAGCAGAGUGCUCUGUGGUGCUGCUGUGUGCCCGCCUUCCUGUAGCCCCUUGUCCCUGCUCCUGCCCGGCCACUUUCCCUGCCAGUCACGCCCCUUUCCUGCCCCUGCCACAGCCCAUUCCCGGCCCUGCCUCUCCCUGCCCGUGUCACGCCUCUUUUCUGCCCCUGCCAUACCUCUUCCCUACCCCGCCCCUUUCCCGCUUCUGCCCCGCCACGCCCAAUUCCGUGCCCCCCCACCCGCUUUCCUCUUCCUGCCCCUGCGCCAUUCCCUGCCCUUGCCCCGCCCCUUUUCAGCUCUGCCCCUCCCUGUCCCACCUCUUUCUUGCCUCCGUCCCGCCCUUUUCCUGGCUACUCCUAGACCUGCUCCUGCCUCUGCCCUCCCCAGGCUUGGGCAGCGGGGCAGGGCAGCCAAGCGGCACUGAGCCAGCUUUGCCCCUCGCCCCCAUCUCUCGAGGGGCCACGCACCACUUCGCGGAGGAGCCAGGGCGGGGCCCGACCCCACAGAGCUUUAGUUGUCCCCCAGGGAGAGGCUGGGGACAACCCGCCCAUCCUGGGGUCUGAGACCUGUGAGCCUGCCCUGUGCCUGCUUCCUCUUAGCCCAGGAGGGUCCCGCGCUGGGAGGGGCCCUCACACCCUCCCCCCAGCUUUCUGCCUGAUGGUGAGCUUGCCCCGUUGUUCGCCACCAUCUUUCGCCUUUGCCUGGCAGCUCAGCCCCGGGCAGAAGUCAGGCCUGCUCCACCUCCUGCUGUGCCUGGCCCAUGUGUUCCCCCCACAGUGAUGUGCACGGCCGUCCUGUGGGGAGGGAGAGCUCUGGGAGAAGACCCCCUUCUUGAGUGUUCCCCAUCGGUUUGUCCCCAGGGCUGCGCUGGCCUCGGCACACCAGUGCCACCCGCUGCCCCAGACGCUGAGCGUCCUGAAGAGCACGCCGCAGGUGCGAGGCAUGCACACCAUCAUCAGGGACAAGGAGACCAGUCGCGACGAGUUCAUCUUCUACUCCAAGAGACUGAUGCGGCUGCUCAUCGAGCACGCGCUCUCCUUCCUACCCUUUCAGGACUGCGUUGUGCGGACCCCGCAGGGGCAGGAGUACGCGGGCAAGUGCUAUGCGGGGAAGCAGAUCACAGGUGUGUCUAUCCUGCGUGCCGGUGAAACCAUGGAGCCCGCCCUGCGCGCUGUGUGCAAAGACGUGCGCAUCGGCACCAUUCUCAUCCAGACCAACCAGCUUACCGGGGAGCCCGAGCUGCACUACCUGAGGCUGCCCAAGGACAUCAGCGAUGACCACGUGAUCCUCAUGGACUGCACCGUGUCCACGGGCGCCGCGGCCAUGAUGGCGGUGCGCGUGCUCCUGGACCACGACGUGCCUGAGGACAAGAUCUUUCUGCUGUCACUGCUCAUGGCAGAGAUGGGCGUGCACUCAGUGGCCUAUGCGUUUCCACGAGUGAGAAUCAUCACCACGGCGGUGGACAAGCGGGUCAAUGACCUUUUCCGCAUCAUCCCAGGCAUUGGGAACUUUGGCGACCGCUACUUUGGGACAGACGCGGUCCCCGAUGGCAGUGACGAGGAGGAAGUGGCCUACACGGGUUAGCUGCCCAGUGAGCCAUCCCCGUCCCCGCCACCCUCCUGCCUCCUGACCCAGGAUUGCCGAAUACAAAGAUGUUAAUUUUUAAAAUGUUACCAGUAUAAUUUAUUUUAUGCAUUUUAUAAAAUAAAGAAAGCUUUAGAAAAA